rnacentral:rRNA from 1 species
AACGAACGCUGGCGGCAGGCCUAACACAUGCAAGUCGAGCGCGCCCUUCGGGGUGAGCGGCGGACGGGUGAGUAACGCGUGGGAACGUGCCCUUUUCUACGGAAUAGCCUCGGGAAACUGAGAGUAAUACCGUAUACGCCCUUUGGAGGAAAGAUUUAUCGGAAAAGGAUCGGCCCGCGUUGGAUUAGGUAGUUGGUGGGGUAAUGGCCUACCAAGCCGACGAUCCAUAGCUGGUUUGAGAGGAUGAUCAGCCACACUGGGACUGAGACACGGCCCAGACUCCUACGGGAGGCAGCAGUGGGGAAUCUUAGACAAUGGGGGCAACCCUGAUCUAGCCAUGCCGCGUGAGUGAUGAAGGCCUUAGGGUUGUAAAGCUCUUUCAGCUGGGAAGAUAAUGACGGUACCAGCAGAAGAAGCCCCGGCUAACUCCGUG